AACGAACGCUGGCGGCAUGCCUAAAACACGCAAGUCGAACGAGACCUUCGGGUCUAGUGGCGCAAGGGUGCGUACCGCGUGGGAACCUGCCCUUAGGUCUGUAAUAACUCCCCGAAAGGGGUGCUAAUACCGGCUCAUGUCAUCGGACCAAAGAUUUAUCGCCUUUGGAUGCGCCCGCGUUGGAUUAGCUAGUUGGUAGGGUAAAAGACUACCAAGGCGACGAUCCAUAGCUGGUCUGAGAGGAUGAUCAGCCACGCUGGGACUGAGACACGGCCCAGACUCCUACUGGAGGCAGCAGUGGGGAAGAUUGGACAAUGGGCGAGAGCCUGAUCCAGCAAUGCCGCGUGAGUGAUGAAGGCCUGAGGGUUGGAAAGCUCUUUUAACCGGGAUGAUAAUGACAGUGCCGGGAGAAUAAGCCCCGGCUAACUCCGUG
rnacentral:rRNA from 1 species